GGAGGGAGCGCGAGGGAGCGGGACGGCGGAGUGUCAAUAACUUGUCCGUGCCCUCCCACCUCCACCCCGAGCCAGACCCGGGCCCGGCGAGCUCAUCGGCAGGCCGGCAGGCAUUCCCUCCGCUCUACACCAGACCCGCGGCGGCCGCCACAACAUCGCGACACGGAGGCGGGAGCACACACUCGCACACUCGCCGCCACGCUACGAGUCCAAGAAGAAGACCGCCCGCACCGCCGCAGCGCCAGCGAGUUCAGCAAGCGGUUCAACAAAGCGCAGAGCGCCGCGCUGGCCAUUCGCCGGCACUCGCCACUUCGCCCCGUCUAGGCCCUAGACCCCGAGGCCCUAGACCCCGAGGCCGCAACCAAGCCCCAACAUGCUGCGACUGCUCACGAGCAAGGCGCGCCACGCCGCGGCGGCGCCCCAGGUGCCGCA